rnacentral:rRNA from 1 species
UAGAUACCCUGGUAGUCCACGCCGUAAACGGUGGGCGCUAGUUGUGCGAACCUUCCACGGUUUGUGCGACGCAGCUAACGCAUUAAGCGCCCCGCCUGGGGAGUACGAUCGCAAGAUUAAAACUCAAAGGAAUUGACGGGGCCCCGCACAAGCAGCGGAGCAUGCGGCUUAAUUCGACGCAACGCGAAGAACCUUACCAAGGCUUGACAUAUACAGGAAUACGGCAGAGAUGUCGUAGCCGCAAGGUCUGUAUACAGGUGGUGCAUGGUUGUCGUCAGCUCGUGUCGUGAGAUGUUGGGUUAAGUCCCGCAACGAGCGCAACCCUCGUUCUGUGUUGCCAGCAUUUAGCUGGGGACUCACAGGAGACUGCCGGGGUUAACUCGGAGGAAGGUGGGGAUGACGUCAAAUCAUCAUGCCCCUUAUGUCUUGGGCUGCACGCAUGCUACAAUGGCUGGUACAAACGGCUGCAAUACCGCAAGGUGGAGCGAAUCCGAGAAAGCCAGUCUCAGUUCGGAUUGGGGUCUGCAACUCGACCCCAUGAAGUCGGAGUUGCUAGUAAUCGUAGAUCAGCAACGCUACGGUGAAUACGUUCCCGGGGCUUGUACACACCGCCCGUCACGUCACGAAAGUC